UUAAGUUAGAAGAAACCAGGUAGAAGCAGAGAUAAAAGGGAUACCACCAGUUCCGGAACCCACAAACAAUAAUCCUAAUCAUAGAGUGUACAUGCUGAUUACAAUGCAGAGGAACGAUAACAUAAUACAAAUGCAGUAAGACACAGCAUAAAUGGAAAUGAAGGAAAACAUGAUACAAUGUUGCCUAUACUGACUGCUGUGGGGCUCAGCCAACAGAGGAGAAAGAGGGAGGAAUACAAUUUUAUUCUCUAGAAAAGAUGGCAGCUCGACCCAAGGGUGACCUGUGCAGCCUGGUGGGCCACACCACCCUCUGGCAACGCUUAUAUGAAUUUGGAAGUCCAUUGGAUUGGCUC